rnacentral:rRNA from 1 species
CGCGCGGGUUAGACCCGCGGCGUAUAGCUUAGCAACAAGUGGCCAAACUACCCUACAGACAGGAACAACCUCGGGAAACUGAGGCUAACUCCUGAUACGCGUUGACUGUUUGAAGACGUCGACGUUCAAACGCUCCGGCGCUGUAGGAUGUGGCUGCGGCCGAUUAGGUAGACGGUGGGGUAACGGCCCACCGUGCCGAUAAUCGGUACGGGUUGUGAGAGCAAGAGCCCGGAGACGGAAUCUGAGACAAGAUUCCGGGCCCUACGGGGCGCAGCAGGCGCGAAACCUUUACACUGCACGCCAGUGCGAUAAGGGGACCCCGAGUGAAAGGGCAUAUCGCCCUUUCUUUUCUGAACCGUUGGGAGGUUCAGGAACAAGAGCUGGGCAAGACCGGUGCCAGCCGCCGCGGUAAUACCGGCAGCUCG